rnacentral:rRNA from 1 species
UGGGGAAUAUUGCACAAUGGGCGCAAGCCUGAUGCAGCCAUGCCGCGUGUAUGAAGAAGGCCUUCGGGUUGUAAAGUACUUUCAGCGGGGAGGAAGGGAGUAAAGUUAAUACCUUUGCUCAUUGACGUUACCCGCAGAAGAAGCACCGGCUAACUCCGUGCCAGCAGCCGCGGUAAUACGGAGGGUGCAAGCGUUAAUCGGAAUUACUGGGCGUAAAGCGCACGCAGGCGGUUUGUUAAGUCAGAUGUGAAAUCCCCGGGCUCAACCUGGGAACUGCAUCUGAUACUGGCAAGCUUGAGUCUCGUAGAGGGGGGUAGAAUUCCAGGUGUAGCGGUGAAAUGCGUAGAGAUCUGGAGGAAUACCGGUGGCGAAGGCGGCCCCCCUGGACGAAGACUGACGCUCAGGUGCGAAAGCGUGGGGCAGCAAACAGGAUUAGAUACCCUGGUAGUCCA